AGUGAACGCUGGCGGCAGGCCUAACACAUGCAAGUCGAACGGCAGCACAAGAGAGCUUGCUCUCUGGGUGGCGAGUGGCGGACGGGUGAGGAAUGCAUCGGAAUCUGCCCAUUUGUGGGGGAUAACCUCGGGAAACCGGGACUAAUACCGCAUACGACCUCCGGUUGAAAGCGGGGGAUCUUCGGACCUUGCGCAGAUGGAGGAGCCGAUGCCGGAUUGGCUAGUUGGAGGGGUAAAGGCCCACCAAGGCGACGAUCCGUAGCUGGUCUGAGAGGAUGAUCAGCCACACUGGGACUGAGACACGGCCCAGACUCCUACGGGAGGCAGCAGUGGGGAAUAUUGGACAAUGGGCGCAAGCCUGAUCCAGCCAUGCCGCGUGUGUGAAGAAGGCCUUCGGGUUGUAAAGCACUUUUGUUGGGAAAGAAAAGCAGCCGGUUAAUACCCGGUUGUCAUGACGGUACCCAAAGAAUAAGCACCGGCUAACUUCGUG
rnacentral:rRNA from 1 species